GUGGAGUACGAGCUCGAAGACGGCGCCUCGCUGUCGCCGGAGCAGGAGAAGAUGAUCGUCGACGGCUACUUCAGCAUGCUCCAGAUGAUCGAGGCGUACCUCGUCGCUCACCCUGCUGAGUACGCCUAAAAAUAUUGUGGUCAUGUUACUGUGGCGUGGUCGCAUGUGAGAAGAAUUAUUCUGUGUUUAAGGUUAUGUAAUAAUUUCAGUAUUGUGUUUUUGCUUCACGAGUGAAUAAAAUACACAUAAGAAUGUGUUGUGUUUGAUGGUUAAUAUAUAUGGAAGAUUGUGGAUCAGUGUAAAAGUAGAUUAGAAAUAUAAUAAUAUUUGUGAGUUUAUUUGAUUACGGAGGUUAUCUGUACUUUUUAUAAAGUUAUAACACUAAGUCCAAAGCUCAACAUGCAUCCAUGCCACAUCAUCACCCACCAGCAAUUAUUACAUAUUUAACGUCAUGCAACCAUACAACAUCAUCUACAACUUUACAAAUCAACAUGCAAACAUAUCCAAUCAUCAUCCUUCACAUCAUUUGCAUAAUAUUUUAACAAAUCUAUCUAUCAUUUUUAUAAUAUUUGAUAUAUACUUAUCAAUAUAUUUCACAUUAAAAUAUGGGUAUCAUUUGUUUGUUUCAUGAUAAUUACUAAUAAACCUUGAUGUUUCAUUAUUUUUUCCUUUUUACUCCUUGUUUGAUUGUCGAAAAAAAUAUAUUCAAAAUUAGUUAGUAAUUUCCACAAUAAAGCACGGGGAAUCACCUAGUACUAAUAAUACCAUAUGCCAAUGCAUUUGGUUUGCAUGCUGUGCCUCUGAAAUUUUGUAAUCUGUUUGGUAAUAAAUAUGUAUUAUUUGAUUUUUUUUUUCAGUUUUUAGUUCUGAUUUUAACCAUAAAUUAUUAUUAGAAUAAGUUUAUGAGAUUAUGAAAGUAUAUAUUUUUAAGACAUGUCUACAUAUAUCAUUUUUACAUUUUUAAACUAAUUAUUUUAAAAUUUUAUUAAUGGUUAAAGAUUCAAAGUUUGUUUAGAAACUCAAAUGACAUGUAUUUAAUUUCGCCUUAAUGUAUUUAAGCUCUCUAAUUGUGAUACCAACCAGAUCUCAAACCGUGGUACUUAGAAAAAAAGGCCCCUCCCUUAUGAGACAAAAUUGGUUAACACCUGUUAAGACACGGCCUAUGAUAACAUGCGUGGUCCCCGAAUAGUACACAAAGAAAUGCAUACACAUGUACAGAUCGAUAAUUAAUCACCCCGUGCAUUCAAUCUUAUUGGUUCAUUGACAUAAGCAGCAAGUAGCUGUGCUAGAUCAGCUAAUUAAAAAUCAAUUACACGCAACUCCACCCUCCUACCUCCUUUUGUCAUUUGUUAUUUAUGUUUGAAGCCGUUAACUUGUUAAUAUAUUUUAAUUAUUCGUCCUAUUUAAAAAAUAAAUGUUAUGUAAAUAUCAAAAUAUAAGCAAUGUAAACCAAAUUACACAACAAAAUAAAUAGUAAUUUUAUAACUUUUUUUAAAAAAGAUGAAUGGUCAGACAUAUAUUGAAAAGUCAACCACGUCAAAAGAAAAUGGAGGGAGUAGUUUGGUUGGUGAGCAAGAAGUCCAUCAUGUGAACUUGAGCGUUAGCGAUUGGCACAAUAUCACACACCUCAAUGCACAGCAAACACAAUAAAUCGAGAAGAACUUCUCGAUGCUGCAACAAGAACAACGCAGAUAAAAAAACAUGUGAAUUUUAAAAGGAGUAUACUUUUAAAAGCGUGACAAAUAAUUUGUUCAAACAAGAACAGCGAAUACCAAGAACGACGUCAUACAAGACUGACGUGCGGUCGUGUAUUUUGUUCAUCCUAUAAUAAACUGUGUCUAUAUUUAUAAUACUAUAAUAUAUCGUAUUCAGUACGAUUAAUUUAUUCUGGACGGAGGGAGGGAGUAGUCCCCAUCUCAAAACCCUUGUACUGUACCUAUCAUGAAUUUCAGCACUUCUAGAUGGCCUAGUCAGCUCUGGGCUGAAUCCUUAUCGAUCAGCUACAGAACAAACAACAAACCCCUGAAUUUUCCACAGGUCAAGCCAUGUGAUGUGAUCUCCAUAGUCCAACUUCAUGGCCAACCCACAAUUCUGAAUUCCACAUGAUCAGACAAAGUUCAGCUAUCAAUUCUAGAAGCCGAUUUCUUGGAAUGAUGGCGUUCCAAGCUAAUUUCCAGCUGCAUGCUGAUGAAACCCUUCUCUUGCUACCUAUAGGUAUAUAUACACCAUGCUACUGCUCACCAUUGAAGCAACAAGCCUAGCUUACAUAUAUAGCCAUCAGUGGUCAGUGGUGUGAUCAGUUGGAAUCUAGCUAGCUAGAAGGUAUAGAGAUAUUAGUGAUGGCCCCGGCCUUUCUCUCCGACGAGCUCGCCGUCACGGUGUUGGCGGAGAGGCUGUAGAAGGUGUUCAUGGACGCGUCCGCCAUGCCCAAGGUCUGUGCCGGCUUCGUCGACGACAUUGUGGUUGAGGGGAAUGGCGGUCCAGGCACCAUCUACACCAUGAAGCUUAACCCCGGUCGGUUUCGAACAAUAGCAUUGGCACAUUUUCACUUCGUACACCUGUAAUUUUGGAAAAGAAAUUUUGGGAGGUGGGGGUGAGGAGCUUAAUUUUCAUCCUUUAGGCUAAGCUCGGGAGUGAGGGUUGGGAACCUUCACUUUCAGCAUGCAAAAUGAAGCGGCAGUUAGCGCAUGACUAAUUAAGUUUUAGCUAAAAUAAGCAUUGAAAUAGAUUAAUAUGAUUUUCUAAAACAACUUUCAUAUAGAUAUUUUUUUGUAAAAACAAAAUUUAGAAGUUUGAUAAGCAUACCUGCGAAAAACGAGGUAGAAGUUUGGAAGGAAAGUUUAGAACACAGCCUAGUUUUUUUUUUUUUUUGGAUCUUUCUACUAACCUAGCCUCAUCUGUCACUCGGUAUCUUGAGAUAAGUUGAGAUCUUAACUAAGAUAGUGUUUGGGAAGAAGUGACUAAAGUUUAGUCUCUCACACAAAAAUUUUAAUCCCUCCUAUAGGGACUUAUGUUCUUGUGAGAGGGACUAAAGUUUAGUCCCUCCUUCCCAAACACCACCUAAUUAAGAGGGUUAAAAUUACAGCUGUGCAAGGCGAAUUGAUUGGGUAUGUAUAACAGAAAAUACUCCCUCCGUUUCAAAAUGUUUGACACCGCUGAUUUUUUCGUAUGUGUUUGAUCAUUUGUCUUAUUCAAAAAAUUUAAGUAAUUAUUUAUUAUUUUCGUAUCAUUUGACUCAUUGUUAAAUAUACUUUCAUGUGCACAUAUAGUUUUACAUAUUUCACAAUUUUUUUUUGAAUAAGACGAACGGUCAAACAUGUGCUAAAAAGUCAAAGGUGUCAAAUAUUUUGAAACGGAGGGAGUAUUCCUAUUAUAUGCAGAUGCGGGAGUCGGGAAUACAUACAAGACCCGAGUGGCGGUGUGUGACAAUGCAGCACGCGUGCUAAAGUCAGAGGUGCUGGAGGCAGAAAGCAAGGUGGGCAAGCUCAAGUCGCACUCGACGGAGACGAAGCUGGAGGGCACCGGCGAUGGCUCCUGCGUGGCCAAGCUCAAGGUGGAGUACGAGCUCGCCGACGGCAGCUCGCUGUCGCCGGAGCAGGAGAAGACGAUGGUCGACGGCUACUUCGGCAUGCUCAAGAUGAUGGAGGCGUACCUCGCCGCUCACCCUGCCGAAUUCGCCUGAAAACUGUCUCAACCAACACAAUCCAUGGCUGAUAAUUAAAUAAUGCGAGCUCCAAUUUUCUCGUGGCGUUUGAUUUUUUUGAGAGCAGUUAAUAAUUUGUGAUAUUGUGUUGUAUGUGCCUAGCUAGCUAUGUAUGCCGUACGUACGAGCAUGUACUUUUACUUCGAUAAUGAAUAAAGAGACAAACAUCUGAACAUGUGUUGUGGUUGAAUUUGGAGGCUAAAAUAUUAUUGCAACAUCAAUGCAACUAUCGGUACAUAUCUUAUUGACAUCAUGCCUAUAUGACAAAAGACGACCAAUAGCAUAUUAGGUAAGAUUACAAUGACAGCUAGAAGAUUCCCCGCGCGUGCACGUUGCCACGGUGAUUUUGGUGGUAAAAGAAGUAUGACAUGAAAUGUAUAUAUAAUGUACGUUGAAAACGUUGAGAGCCAAAACACCAUGUGGAUUGUUAUGGAUGGAAUUAACAUGCAGAAUGUAGAGGUAAGAUCCAUCUGCGACCAAAUUUCACAAGUUUACACGGCAGGAACUUAUAUAUGAUGUACAUAGAACUAACAAAAAUAAGUAUAUAAAAGAGAACUUUAUGCAAGAUGCUAGUGGUAACUCCACCCAACUGAAUUGAAGUAAGGAUGCACACACAGCUAUUGCUCUAUCAUGCUCAACUAAAAAGUGAAAGAUAGAAAGUAAAGAUGUACUCCGUUUCAAUUUCGAUUUGCUUGUCGUUCUAACAAAUCUCAUACUAAACUAGAUGCAUGGUAUAACAAGGCAAAAUUUGCUAUAGAACAUCUAAAAAAUAUGAAAUUAGUUAGGAGACACCGCAAGAAUGCGUUUUUGCUGUAGGACACAAAAAAAAAAUAGUAAUUAGCUGUUGGACACCCGCGAGAUUAUUUUAUUAUAUCCGAAAGAAUUGGAGAGAGAAAUAGUUGUGUAAGUACGGUUCUACCCUUUGAUUCUUUUUCUUUUCUUCUUUCUUCCUUAUUCUUUUCUCCCUCUCACAUUAUCUCUUUCCCUCUCUGCUCUCAACCACCGCCACGUUCUCUCCUUCCGCUCCUCCCGGGAGGACGAGGUCGGGCGCCUCAUCCGCUCCAUCUUCACCGAGAGCGGCGGCGGCACCGCCGCCUUCAACCUCGCCCGCCGCCGCCGCCUCGCCCGUCGUCGCGGCGCUCGCCCGCCGCCGUCGCCAUUUCUGAUCCGUUCUUGUUUCAGAGCUUGCACCCGGCGGCGAAGUACCACGACGCUGCGAUGGCGAUCGGCGGGUGUCCGAUCUACGUCAGCGACAAGCCGGGGAACCACAACUUAGAACUGCUUAGGAAGCUCGUACUACCCAGCGGCUCCGGGCUUCGGGUGCGCCUCCCCGGCCGCCCCACCCGCGAAUGCCUCUUCUCCGACCAGGCGCGCGACGGCGCGAGGUAACAAAAAAGAUUUCAAAAUUAUAGUAAAUUUGUGCGAAAUGGAUUCUAAUUUCAUGAGAAUUUGGGUUAAUUUUGAUGAAAUUUUGCACCUUGCUCAAGAUAUGGAAUCUGAACAAGUGCGGCGGCAUUGUCGGGGUGUUUAAUUGCCAGGGCGCCGGGUGGUGCAGGGUGGCCAAGAAGACGCAUGUGCACGAUGCGGCGCCCGGAACGCUCACCGGCGCCGUGCGCGCUGACGACGUCGACGCCAUUGCGCAGGUCGCCGAUGAUGGCGACGGCGACGACGGCUGGGAUGGGGAGGCCGUGGCGUACAUGCAACGGGCGCGUGAGCUGGUCCGGCUGCCGUGCGACGCCGUACUGCCGGUGACGCUCGGGGCGCUCGAUUACGAGGUGUUCCACGUCUGCCCCGUCCGCGCUAUCGCAAUGGCGCCGGGAGGCACCGUCGUUGCGUUCGCGCCCGUCGGGCUCCUUGACACCGUCGACGCCACCGCCGCCGCCGUGGCGCUCAGGGUGCAUGGUUGCGACCAUUUUGGCGCCUACUUCUCGCGGAGGCCGGCGAGGUGCACGCUCGAUGGCGCCGACGUGGGGUUCACCUACGACGGCGACACGAGGACAUGCUCACAGAGGGACCCGCGUCGGAUUAAUUUGAGCCAAGGGAAAACUGGUCUUUAAUGAUUAUUUCUCUCUCCUAUUCCUCCAAAAAUAAUAAAAUAAUCUCACCGGUGUCCAGCAGCUAAUUAACAGUUUUUUGUGAUGCCCUACAGCAAAUACACGUUCUUACGACAUCCCCUAGUUAAUUACACGUUUUUCGGACGUCCUGUAGCAAAUUUUGCCGUAUAACAAUUACAUUACUAUCCUCAUCUUUCCAAACCAAGGGUAGGAAGUAGAGAACUUCUCUAAAAGUGUUUUGGAAUGUAAGAACAUAUUUUGACACAAGUUUUGAAUGCUGGAAUGAUAAGCAAUUUGAAACGGAGAGAUUUAUCAAAGUUAGGACGUACGUGCUCUGGUACUAGCCGUACGAUGACGCCCAAUAAUUCAACCGAAGAACAACCACACCUAUCGAUCCGAGGUGGCAAGGUGGAAAUUUUGCGUUAAAGCUCAAUUUGUCCCUGGUGACCGUGACAUCAGAUUGAGUAUCACUGAGUCUACCAAUUGAAGGUUGUAUAUAUCCGAGGUGGCACAGUGAAAAUUGAUACGCUAUGAAACCCAACAAGAUUGAAAGAAAUUCAUAAUUGAAUUAAUACCUACCGAUAAAGGGUAUUUGUUUAGACCCAUCUCAGAGCAUGACAUGUAGUCGUACCUAUCAUCUAAAAGCAUUUAAAUUAGGGUCUGUUCGAUUUAGAUUAUUAAACAAAUUAUUAUCGUUGAUUACCUACCAAUUGAUUAUGGAAAUAAAUUAAAUACUUUAAAAUUAAACUUAAUAAAUAGUUUAAAACAAGUGAUCAAAGCAGUAGAAUAAAGUUUGUUGAGAGAUUUUUUGAAACAUAGAACAAAUAAUCAGUUCCAAUAAUCCGGCGAAUAAUCUGAGAAUCAGUGUUCUAACUGUAAACAAAGACCAUGAUCUCAUAUAUGAUUAUUCUCCCAACCGUCCUAUAUAUGCCCAGGUCUCAAAUGUCAGCUCUUCUAGAUGGAACCAAAGAAAAAAACCCUUAAUUUCCACAGGUCAAGCCACAUGUGAUCCCCAAUAUUCCUACUUCCAGAACCCUAGAAUUCCACACAAAGUUCAGCAUAUGCAACCAAUGGAGCUGAGUUCCCAACUGCAACAUUUAUUCUGGAUGAUGUCUUCUUCUCCUCUUGCCACCCUAUAAAUAGCCCAUGCUACUGCUCACCUUUGAAGCACAAGCACAAGCACAAGCAGCUCUAGCUAGCUACAGGCAUCAGUGGUCAGUAGAGUGAUCAGUUGCAACUAGCUAGCUAGUUAGAUUAUAUCUUCAGUGAUGGCUCCGGCCUGCGUCUCCGACGAGCACGCCGUCGCGGUGUCGGCGGAGCGGCUGUGGAAGGCGUUCAUGGACGCGUCCACUUUGCCCAAGGCCUGCGCCGGCUUGGUCGACGACAUUGCGGUCGAGGGGAACGGUGGUCCGGGCACCAUCUACACCAUGAAGCUUAACCCUGGUAGGUCCAGAAAGAUCUAAGUACUUGUAUCUACUGAUUGUACUUAUUAUCUCGGCCGAUUUUUUUUCUUAAAUUUUUGUGAAUUUGGUCAAAAUUUAGUCAAAUUCAGUUAAAUUAUUUUCAAAUUUCUGAAAAAAAAAUCAGUCCAAAAAGUGCCGAAAAUCCCGAAAUUUUGGUUCUACCAAAAUGGCUUUCGGCGAAAUCGAAAGUGAAAAUCCUGUCAACAACAAAAAGAAUUUGAUUAAGACAGUUAAAAUUACUAUAGUGCAGUAUAAAAUUGAUUGGGUAUAUAAUAACAACAAAUGUUAAAAUUAUAUGCAGCCGCGGGUGUGGGAAGCACAUACAAGACCCGGGUGGCGGUGUGCGACGCCGCAAGUCAUGUCCUAAAGUCGGAUGUGCUCGAGGCAGAAAGCAAGGUGGGGAAGCUCAAGUCACACUCGACGGAGACGAAGCUUGAGGCCACCGGCGAUGGCUCCUGUGUGGCCAAGCUCAAGGUGGAGUACGAGCUCGAGGACGGCAGCUCACUGUCGCCGGAGAAGGAGAAGGACAUCGUGGAUGGCUACUAUGGCAUGCUCAAGAUGAUCGAGGACUACCUCGUCGCUCACCCUGCCGAAUACGCCUAAGAUGAAGAGGAAUACUGCCUCUAUCCAGUAUAUCCCACCUAGAGUGAGUGAUAAUUAAAUAAUGAGAGCC
rnacentral:lncRNA from 1 species